CCUACUGGCAGCUCUAAACCUUCCAUUUCUGGAUUGAAUGAACAUUACAGGGACUUCAGUGAACAAUUUGACACUAUGACUAGCUAUACACAGACCCUAUUACAUUUAGAGCAUAUCAUCAACAGGUAAAAGGGGCAUGGCUUCUGCUGACUGACAGACCUUACUAUAAACCUUUUGAUUGGGAAAUCAGAGUACAUCAAGGCUUUUAGAAGAAAACAUAUGCUGUCACCUAACUGGGAAUGCCCUUGCAAAGUACCACUGACCACCUACACUGCUAUCAAAAUAAAAGAAAAAUCCUCCUGGAUUCGUGCAAGUCAAGCCAAACCAGACCCAGAUUACCACUCCCAGGGCAACUGGAAGACCAUCCCUACAGAUCUCUUGCCACUCAGCUAGUAACCCAGUUUUUCUCUCCACCGCCACCUGCUCAGCUUUUAAUGUAUGAAACUUCUAGGGAAGUUUCAGAUGGGAGAAAUAAAGGAGUUAAAAACAUGCUGCCUCAAAAUAUGCUCCUCUGGCAUAUUGACUAUUAUGAAAUAAAGGUACUUGAAAAACA